AGAUGAAGAUUCCAGUGGAGGACAUCUGGAUGUGCCCCGUGAAUGUUGGGGCUCACUGGAUUUUAGUGAUUGUCAAAAUGUUUGAGACAGUCCUGGUACUAAUUGAUCCACUGGGAAACGAAGUAUCAUAUGAGAGGAAAAUACUUCGAAACUGGAGAAGGCAGGCUGUCGACAACAGAAAGCAAAAUGGAGAGUCCAGACAAUGCCACACAACAAACAGCAGGACACCUGGAGCUGUGGCAUUUUGGUGUUGAUGGGAAUGCGGAUGAUUACUGUGUGGUGUGCUCCUAUCUGGAACCAGAUGGGGAUACGAGCAUGAUAGAAAUGGUAUAAUAAAAUUUGUGCUUUGUAGGGCCGGGUGAUUAUGGCAAAAAUCUAAAUCACUAUUGAUUGAACUUUUAACCUUGAUUACGAUUAAUGAACGAUGAUCUCCACCCUUGAU